UUUAAUUGAAUAGUAAAAAUGUUGUCUAUGACGAAUAAUAUACUUCUCCCGUUAGCUGCAAAACACACCAACUCCAUCGGCUCAGUGCUACUCCACUUUCGCUCUCAUUUGCCCUCCACUUUCUCCUCUGUUAAAAAUCGCCUUCUCAAGCAGCCCAAGUCUCUUUCCGGCAGACCCAUUUUUCUAAACUCGUAAAAUUCUCUUUCAUUAUCUGUCCUAAUUUUGCAAAUCUAUGCUUAUAACUUUGUAUAGUACUGUAAAUUACAUUCAGUGUAAUAUUAUAUUUGUCAACCUCAUUCGUAAAUACUGGUGUUCAAAACCCUAGAACCGCGAUAUCCAAUUUUAAUUUAUAGCACUUAUUGAGGCCGAAUUAAUUUUUUUUUUUGCAAGUUUUCAUUUUGUAGAAAUGUGUUAUCUUAAAUUUGUGCAUAUUUUGUUUCACAUGGUACAAAGAUUGGCUUUAUACUUUGAUAAGUAUUACUCACUCAGUCUGAAUUUAUGUACCGAUGUUUGACCUGCCACGAAGUUAGAAAUAAGACUUUUGAAAUUUGUAAUCUAUAAUAAAUCAUAAAGAUGUGUGUGGCUAGAAAUCAUCUCGUUUAGGGUAAUUUGAGAAGUUUAAAGUUAAUUUAUUUUUAAAUAUAUAAUUGGAUCAUUCUUUUAUGGGAAAAACUAGAUAAGUAAUUACGUCACAUUUUGUACAGUACUGUAAAAUACAUUCAGAUAACACUUAUUGAGGCCUAAUUUAAGUUUUUUGGCAAGCAUUCACUUUGUAUAAAUGUGGUAUCUUGGCAUAUUUGUUUCAUAGGUACAAAAAUUGGAUUUAUACUUUGAUAAGUAUUACUCCCUCGAUCUGAAUUUAUGAUCUAAAAAAUUUGUGGCUAUACAUUUUCUCAUUAAAGGUAAAUUGAAAAGGUAAUAGUUAAAUUGAAUUCUAAAUAUAUAAUUGGUUCAUUUUUAUUUUUUUUUGGGGACAAACUAGAAAAGAAAGUAUGUCACAUUUUACGUGAGAGAGGGAGUAAAAAAGAUAAAAACUUUAUCUCUUUUAUUAAAAAGAUAAAAUCUUAAUCUGUUUUAUUAAAAAAGCACUUUAUCUAUUUUAGUAUGACCUUUACAAUUGACCAUUUUGUUUAUAUGACUUAAUUAAGAAGUUUAUAUUGAUGCUUGCGAGUGAGGAUACAUAUAGCUGAACCAACUUGUUUGGAACUAAAGCAUAGUUGUUAUAUAUUGAUGUUGGUCUUUCAAAAUCAAAUACAACUAUUCAUUGACCUUAGCAUAUUGUAGUUGUUUGUUUUUAAGAAAUUUUUCUUUUCAAUAUGCAUGGGCGAGUAUACUGGGUAUGUUGUUGUUGUAAUAUGCAUGGUGAGUAUUUGCUAAAUGUCCCAUCCAAUAAGGAAAUUACAGCAAUGAAAUUUCGAGCAAGUGUUGAUUCUUGUAAACUGCUUCUGCAGAUAUUAGUUUAACUUGAAGCAAGUUGUACAUUAGCCAAAAAGGAUACAUAAAAAGAGAGUGGAAAAAGGAAGUUCCAUUUAUCCAAUGCAUAGUGG
rnacentral:lncRNA from 1 species